CUCGUUUCACUCCUCGAUUCUUCUCGGUGAUCUCUCUUCGUCCACAUACACUCAACUGCUCGAGCUGCUCCUCCCAUCACCAACCUCAAUGUUAGCUGCGCCCAGGAGACACCACCACCAGAACAGUGCAUCUCUUCUACUGCACACCACUUCUACUGCACACCACCGCAAGUCAGCCAUUCUAAGGAAGCCCACCGCGCACACCCACUGCAACACGAAGACGGUUCGAAUGGAGAACAAUCUGAUCUGAACAGGUCUAAUAGGAGCAGAUUUUGCUGGUUACCGAAGAGACUGAGUAAAAGAAGAGGAAACUGAAAUUACAGGAAAUGGAAUGGAAAUGAAUACAAACUGUUUGAAGGAAUACCACAAAGGGCCAUACGUAUAUUAAUAACGGGAAAUAGUUCGAGGCAAGACCCAACCUCCAGAUGAUCAAGUUCUUACGAAUAGAACCUGGUUUUUGCUGAUAGAUAGAGCUAGGUAUCACAAGGUGACCGAUUUCGUACCGAAAAUAGUGGUUUAGCGUUGCAAGGU